UGAAUUUUUUUCAAUUUAAUUUGUAAUAUACAAUAAUACAGUACUGCUGACAGACGGAAGUAAUCUAAUCUAACUGUUUGGUUGACACUCAAUGCACUUUCAUAUGCUGAAUACCUGUUGUAUACUGCUGCUUUUAACCACCAAUGUACCUUAACAAUGCUGAGUGAAACCCCUUAAAAUGCCAGUCAACAACACAUUUUUCCCAAAAUCCAUAUAAUACUACAAUAACUACUAUUCCAAAAUAACUACUGUUAUUUAGACAUAAACAAUAAUAACCAAUUAACCUGACUACUGUUACUGUAAAACUAUAACAUUGCUGUUUAUUACCUCACAUUUUAACUUGACAGUGUCAAUUAACAUUGCUGUUAUCACUAUUAAAUGUUACUUGUUUUCAUGAACAUAUUUUUCUAUCUGUUCUGAAAACUGUUCUGAAAAAAUCAAUUAAAACAUUGAAUUUCUCAUUAAAAAGCAUCAGAUAAGUUAUCAAAAUUCCAAAGAGACACUGAAAGGCUAUUUUUUGCCGAUUUGCCACAAAACCCUUAAAAUAUCUGCCAGUCAAUACAACAGUAUAUGUAAAGAAUAUAGAUACUGUAUUUGUGUCUGGUAAUUACCAGAAAGACAAAUUCUUAUUCAAUUUUUUAAUUAAAAACAAAUACAUUAAUAUAAUGUACAGCAAUUAAAAUAUAGAAUUUUUUGUUUAGUAGCCACUGUAACACCAGUGGUGUUUUUAGGAUUCUUGAGAUAGGAGAGGGGGAAUGGGUUCAAAGUGGGGGAUCAAUGAUUAUGUGAGGGAUCAAUGAUUGAGGGAGGCACUACUUGAGCAUAAAUUGUUGAAGGGUGGGAGAGUACAAGUUUUUUUUGGAGGGGGGAGGGUUGUGCGAUCCUUGAGCAAUCCUAGACUCAAGGCUAACAUAGCCCUGUACACACACUGCAUCAGCACCCAAUGCAAUAUCGCAAGACAACAUGCAACAAUGUGUCAGAUGGUUUUCAAAUCUCCUAAAACUACCACUAAUUUCAGCAAAAUAGUGUUACUUUGGCAAAUGCAGCAGAUGCUAUACACCACAUCAAAGUUUGAAUUUGCCAAUUAUUGGCACAUCACACAAAUGGUGGUCAAUACUUAACACUGGUAAACAUCUUCACUUCGGCAAGAACCUCGCAAAUAUUUCCUUGAAAAUAUCAGUCAAACCUAAAGUUAAUGUGUCACUUGUACCAAGUUAUUGCUGUGUUAAUAGUGAGUAUUAACAACAGCAUUGAUUUGACUUAAAUUUAGGUGAGACAUUUUUUAUUCCUUGUUUCGCGUACUUAUUUUUAAAAAAUAUUAUCGGAGGAGGGCGGAAUAGAAAUAAAAAUAAAAUUUGGUUUUCUAAUUUAACAAAUAGUUUUGGCAAAAUAAUCCAGAUGGAGGAGAAAAUAAAAACAAAAUUUUAUUGGUGAAUGUAAAAUAGGAUGUUUAAAUACUUCAAAUUUAUAAUAAUUAGGAAGAAAUAUACAUAUCUUUGGAGAUUUUAAGGCAGUGGAUGGCGUAAUAAAAAUAAAGUGUGCUAAUUGGCCAAAAAUAAAAUUUUAUUUUUAUUUGAAAUCAUCAAUAUUUGCAGUCGGCGGGUUCGCUAAACAAGGUAUAAAGAAUGUCUCGCCUUAUGAACUGCAAGGGGUAAUGCUAUUAACAAUAAUACAUUAUUGCAGAGUACAGCAUGAUUAUCACAAGUGUAUGUAUGCAGCAUUUAUAGUCAACACACAGGUGGCUCAAGGGGGUGGCAAACAGGAUGAUCUCCUCUCCUCCCUAAACCCCCCUCCCCUCAUGCAGCAGAACAAUUUUUUUUAACCAAGUGUGACUCUCCAAUAGGUGACAAAAUUCCCCUUCCCCCAAUAGAUGUAAUAGAACAUUCCCAACCCUUCCCAUUGGACCAUAGGUCCUGUUUAUUGGCACUUGCUCACCCAUCCCUACUGAGAAAAAACAUCCAGGAGUGGUCCUGCAACUCACUAAUUUUUUCCUGAAUGCUAUCAAUUUCGUUUGCAUGAACACAAAAGGAAUGUGUUUAAAAACAACCAACUACAGUUUCCUAAUAAAUCCAUUGUAUAAAUAAAAUGACCAUUAAAAUAAAAUUGACAGCCAUUUGAGUUAUUCCCAUAAGAAAAACCUCAUCACACACAUUUCCCUCUCAAUGAGGAGGAUGUGUAAUAACAUGCAUUCAUUGAUUAAAUAUCAAACAUUGCAUUGUAACUGUUAAAACUUAAAAUACAUAUAUACAGAUAUACUGUGUAAUAUAAAAGACAUUCUAAAACUAUGCUAUUAAUAUUGCAAUUUGAUUCUGGAAGAAUAACUAAUGCUUUAUAUACAUAAAAUCAAUAAAUAAAUAAUAAUCAUUUUAAUAUUGUAAGACAAAAUAAUGUAUCUCAUUAGAAUUUCAACCCAGAACCACUCUGCGACAACCAAGUAUAAGGCCAAGUUGGUAGUAUACAUCCUAGGGAAGUCACACUCCUGGUAUCCAUAAGGCAAAGUUGGUUAUAACCAUGGAGGCCAACCUGGUAAUAAACAUCAACCGUGGAAGGUCAUGAAUUAGUAGUGUUAUACCUUUUUGAGAAGCCAACCCAUGAAAGGACAAUAUUAAUAAUAUAAAACAUUGGAAGGCCACCUAGCUGGUAGUGAAGUGAAGCUUCAUUGGAAGGUCAAUAAUUGGUAGUAUACACCUUUGGGAGGUCUGACUGGUAGCUGACAAGGGUAUGGGUCAUGGUCCCUAAAUAUAAUCAAUAUAAUCCAUGAAGAGUGUCAAGGGGAGAGAUUUUAUGGUUUAUGGUCAUCAACCCCAGGGUCAUGACCCAAGUUUGUGUAGUGAAUAAAAUUGUGAGUGUUGCCAGGUGGCAUCUGGGUCUAAAAAAAUAGAAAAGGUGUAAAUAAGUGUUGCAAUUAACAUAAAAAAAUCAGAGGAUUUACAGGAGAACAUCGCACCAAAAAUUAUUGUUUUAUUUUACAGGGUUUUUUAAAAUAAUUUUAGAUUAUAUUAUAUUAAAUGCAUCAAAUUACAGCCUACUCUCAAUGGCAGUUUGAUCAAAUAUUGAAUUAUCGCCAAAAUCAU
rnacentral:lncRNA from 1 species